AUAUCUCGAGACCACACUGCUGUGAGGAAGCCAAGCCAGCAGCGGGGAGAGGCCACACGGAGAGAGGGAUGUUCAGCCGGGUCCCAGCUCUUCAGCCUUCCCAGCUGAGACGUCAGACGUGACUGAAGAAGGCCAUCUCCUCUCGGGGCAUUCUUCUCCCAGUGGACACCACGUGGGGCAGGAAAACCACCCAGAGGAAACCAGCGCACAUUGCAAAAGAAGAAUAAAUGGUUAUGAGGCAUUGGACAUGGUGAUCCCCUUUUGGGACAAGCUGGCUCCCGCUGUAAACGGAGGACCCUCGAUGUCCCCCAUGGUGUGUGUGACGUAGGACUGCGAGAUUUAGCAAACGGAGAAACGAAACGGAGGGAGGGGCAGCAUUGACGGCUGAGAUGAAUGAUGUCCUGGCCUCACUGUUCCUGGAUGCAGGCCCCCAUCAACUGGGGCAACAUUGAGUGAGGCUCUGCUUCUUGCCACAUGGCACAGGGGCCAGUGAGCAGCCCGUUCCGAGUAGGAUGAUGUAUGUGGACGUGAGGUGAGGGCAUCCCCAAUGUGGGAACUUCUGUCCCGGGCAUGCACGACCCUCCUAGCACAUGGGUCCAUUCACCAACUCGGAAGCUCUCUAAAUUCCUUCGUCUGGGUUUUUAUGGAGGUUCUGUUGCAUAAACAUGGUUGAUUAAGUCCUUGGCCAUUGAUGAGUAACGCAAUCCCCGGUCCUUUCCCCCUCCCCAGAGGCUGGGGGCGGUGGGACUAAAGUUCUAGCCCACUUUUCACAAGCAUUACUUACCUGGCAACACUCCCCCGCUCUGCCCCCAUCUUCCAAGAAUCAGCUCAUUAGCAUAAACUCGGGUAUGACUGAAAGAGGCUAAGUAUGAGUAACAAAAGAUGCUCCUCUUGCCCCAUUCCUCAGGUAAUUCUAAGGGUUUUAAGAGCUUUGUGCCAGGAACCAGGGAACCAGGGACAAAGACCUUGGAUCACGAUAUCACAGCUGGAAUGGAGAGGGAAGUGACAAGGUGACAGUGUGGAUGGCUGGAGAGAGCAGGAGCAGGAGGAAUCAAAUAUGUUGGUGGCACCUCUGUAGUUAUCAGAUAGUGGCACCACUGCCUGGGGGUUUAAUUUCCAAGGAAGCUGGGAGGAGAUGCUGCUCUGAAGAGAAGAGCACUACCUUUCUAGAUGAAUCGAUUUUGAGGUGCAGUCAAAAGAAAAAGUCCAGCGAGUGGCUGAAAAUUCCGUUAAGUUAUAAGAGCCACUAAUAUUUAAUCUGUGCUCACUAUGUAUUUCCUGUUCUAAGAACUUUGCACAUAUUAAUUUCUUUUUUUAUUAACAUUUUUUAAAAUGUUUAUCCAUUUCUGAGAGACCGAGAGAGACAGAGCAUGAG